rnacentral:rRNA from 1 species
UUUAUCGCUAUUAGAUGAGCCUAUGUUAGAUUAGCUAGUUGGUGAGGUAAUGGCUUACCAAGGCUAUGAUCUAUAGCUGGUCUGAGAGGACGAUCAGCCACACUGGAACUGAGAUACGGUCCAGACUCCUACGGGAGGCAGCAGUGGGGAAUAUUGGACAAUGGGCGAAAGCCUGAUCCAGCUAUGCCGCGUGAGUGAAGAAGGCCUUCGGGUUGUAAAACUCUUUCAAUAGGGAAGAUAAUGACGGUACCUAUAGAAGAAGUCCCGGCAAACUCUGUGCCAGCAGCCGCGGUAAUACGGAGGGGGCAAGCGUUGUUCGGAAUUAUUGGGCGUAAAGGGCACGUAGGUGGACUAGUAAGUUAAAAGUGAAAUACCAAAGCUUAACUUUGGAGCGGCUUUUAAUACUGCUAGACUAGAGGUCGAAAGAGGAUAGCGGAAUUCCUAGUGUAGAG